rnacentral:lncRNA from 1 species
UUUUUAUUCAAUUUUUAUCGAUAUCGAUAAUAUCCCAAUAUUUCCAUCGAAAUUUCAGUGUUUAUAGACUACCGAUAUUUUCGAUAUCAUCGAUAUUUAAUACCUUGUUUCAAGUUCAACUAGGUUAUAGAUUUGGUUUUGCGGUUUUGGGUUUGCACUUCUCUUCGACUCCCGACUGCUUCUGCGCCUUGCAUCUCUGCCUUUGCCUCUGCAAUCUGCAUCUCUGCCUUUGCCUUUGCGACUGCGACUGCCUGCUUGCAUCUCUGCCUCUGUGACUGUGACCUCACUGAGUCACUGCUUGCCUUGCAUCCCCAGAUCCCCUUCAUCUGCAAGCCCUAAUCUCUGCAAAUCAAAAGCUCUGCAAAACAGACUUGGCAAAUCAUUCACAUGCUCUUCGUUCCAGCUAAUAUGGUAAAAACUUAGAACUUGUAUUACUUAGAACUAGUAUCAUUCAUCAAUUUAAUCUGUUUUUAUGUUGAUCUAUAUAUAUAGCUAGUUUUGAGAUAUUAGAUUAAGCAACUGUUUAGCUGAGGGCGUUGUAUUUAGUAUUACAUUUGCAUAAUCUCCUUAUGGUUUACAUAUUAUUUUUCAUUUUGUUUCAAUCUAUUUUAUCAGUUUUGGACCUUUCAAUUUGUUUUCAGGUGAUUCCUCUCUCAUGGAUUAUUUUUUGUGGAUUUUCAUAUGCAAAUUAUGCUAAAAUUAUGAUGUAAUGUUCUUUAGAUCUCUGUUAAUGUUUUCGUUUGCAAACACGGUCGGUUCUCGGUUGCGAAAGACAAUAUUUCUUUUUGUGUUUUAGAAUGAAAUAGAAUACGCUUUGUGUCAAUUUUAUGAUCUGAGUUACUUGUCGAACUAGGUUAUUUCGGGUUUGAUGUGUUUGAAUUUGUUCUGGGAGCAUUCGAGUAGUUAGAAACUGAAACCCCUAAGUUAAUGAGAAACCAUGUAGUCCUUUUAUUUGGUUUGUCAUGGAUGUGUUCUUUGUCUUCUGCAAACAUCUUAUUGUUUCUGGUUAUGUUUUUAUUUGCUCAAGCUUGCUUGAUUUGGCUGCUUAUAGAACAUCUAAGGGAGCACUUAGUUUUUUAUCGAGCAGAGGAAUGGUUUUCUUCAUAGUCUCAUUAACCAAGUUUACCUAUAUAGUUAAAUGUGGUGUUUGACUAAGAACGAAAAACAAAUUUUGGAAUUGAAAUGGUGUUGGACCUUUUGCUUGAAGACAGCCUGAUGCCUCAGCAGAAGAGUAUGGUGUUAAUUAAAAGUUUUAAACUUGGAUUGAAGUUGGUCGGAUUUGAUUAAUGAAACAUGCAGUUCUGGAGCUUAUAGCAGCUCAGCUAGCUGUUUUCUGUUUUGUUUUUGCUGAAAUAGUUGAUUUUGUUUGGAAUUUUUGUUUUGAGCAAUUCUAUGUUGGGUUCUACCUCUGGGGUUAUGUGAUAUUGUGAUUGUUACAAGGAAAAUAAGACCGUCUUAUGCAUAAAUAUGUGUAUAUUUUAAAUUGUACAUUUUUUUCUCAAAAACCAAACCGAAACCAUUUGAAACCACACUGAACCGAACCAAACGGUUUGGUUUCAUUUCGGUUUUGGCUUCAAAACCGCACCGCAAAAAGUUUCGGUUUCGGUUUCGGUUAUGGUUUCACUCGAAACCGCACCGAACCACACUACGCCCACCCCUAGUGGGGUUGGUUUGGAAUUGUAGUGCUUCUAAACAAAUAAUUUAUUAAAAAAUUUGGAAUAUCGAAUUUGUUUAGUAAAAAAAAAUAUUUUCUUAGAAAAACUAUUGUUAAUAACAGUAGAAAAACAUAGAAAAGUAUACCCCAUAUAUAUUACAAAAUGAAAAUCAUUGUCCUACAUUAUUCUCUUUGACAAUUAGUAUAUCACAUAAAAUAUCAUAUACUUUUUUAGUCAUUUAACAUGUUUACAACAAUUUAUUUAAAAGCUUACCAAAGACUCAGAUAUUUUUUUUUUUGUUAAAAACACUUUUACAAAAAAAAUUAAAAAAUUUACAAAAUAUUCAACAACUUUAUUUUAGUUUCUUUUUCUCACAGCACAGUUUCCAAAGCAAAACAAUACCAAACUAACCCUUAGUUUGUCAAACUGUUCUAACUAUUUUUGUCGAAUAUACUAACUUGUGCAUUAGAUACUACUCUCUAAGACCAUCUCCAAUCCGUUACUUAGUAUUACGGUCUAGUGAUAUUCCUCUUGUAAGUGAGAGGUCUUCAGUUCGGUUCUCACCAAAAACAAAGUUGAACCACAUUAUUAUGACAAGCCUAUUGUAAAACUUGACCUACUCCCCAUCCCAUUAGUGUACAUACUAUCUUUCGCUAAGAAAAAAGAAGACUCCUUCCAACCCUUGGUUAAAACCUAAUAUUUUUAAUCCAAAUAUAUUAGGUUUUAACCUAAAAUUGUUUUUUUUUUCUUUUUUUUUUUGGCUCCAAUAGUUCUAGGUUAAAAUAUUAACAUGAAUUAUUAAAAAAUGAAUUUAGGCUAAAUUUUUUUUCAGUAACUUUUUUUUCAAAAUAAAAUUUAUGUAGAUUAUUAGAAUUUAUUUGUUAUUUUCACAUAAAAUAUUUAGAUUCCGAGAAAAGUUGAAAAUUCACUAAACCGACCCAUGAAACAUAUAUUUAUAGAGUUUUUGGAUGAAUUUUGAUUUAAAUAUUUUUUUUAUAAUUGUUUUAGCCGUUGGAUCCAAUUCGGUCGUUUCAGAUUUUUUUUUACCAUUAGAUUGCUCAUAUUUGAUCGCAGUCGUUGGAUUUAAUGUAUUUAAAAUUUUAAAAUGGCCUAAAUUUUAGGUUUUAACCCAAAACUUAUUUUAAACCCAACCAUUGGAAAAUGAUUUGAAUAGUUUAAAACCUAAAUUUGGCGGGCCAACCUUUUAACCUGGCCUAAAUUCUUGAUUAAAUUUGCCCAAAUUUUAGGUUUUAACCAAAAACUCAUGUUAGGUCUAACCAUUGGAGAAAGAUUGGAUUAGUUUAAAACCUACAUUUUAGGUUUUAACCCAACGGUUAGAGAUGGUCUAAAUACUCAUGUUUGGUGUAGUAUUGAAUUAAAGACCAUAUUAUCUACCCACCUUAAAAAAAAUUUCGUCCCUGAAAUUUUAAAUAAGUAGCUAGCCAAAGAUGGGAUUCAAUGGCUAGUUGUAUUCGAAAAGUAGCAUAUGAGGUAUUAGGAAAGUCCAAGGGCUUUGCUCCACAUCAAAAGGAAUCUUGUUGGUGGAACGAGGAGGUACAAACAAAGGUGAAGGCUAAGAAGGAAUAUUGUAAAGCCUUAUACAAGGAUAUGACCGAUGAAAAUGGUGAAAGUUAUAGAAUAGCGAAGCAGGAGGCGAAAAAAGCUGUGAGAGAAGCUAAGCUAGCGGCUUAUGACGAUAUGUAUAAGCGACUAGAUACCAAAGAAGGAGAAUUGGAUAUCUAUAAACUAGCUAGAGCAAGGGAAAAGAAGACAAGGGACCUAAACCAAGUGAGGUGCAUUAAGGAUGAGGAUGGAAAAGCUCUUGCUACAAAGAACACGGUCAAAGACAGAUGGAGAAGUUAUUUUCAUAAUCUUUUCAAUAAAGGACAUGAAAGGAGUACUUUUUUUGGGGAGUUGAGUAACUCAAAAGAGUGUAGAAACUACUCAUUUUACCGCUGAAUCAGGAAGGAAGAAGUGGUUGUAGCUUUGAAAAAGAUGAAACAUAGAAAAGCAGUGGACCCAGAUGAUAUACUAAUCAAAAUGUGGAAAGUCUUGGGAGAGACGGGUAUAACAUGGCCCACAUACUUUUUCAAUAGGAUUUUGAAAAUGAAGAAGAUGCCAAUUGAGUGGCGAAAGAGCACUUUGGUGCCCAUAUACAAGAAUAAGGGCGACGUACAAAAUUGCAUGAACUAUAUGGGUAUUAAGCUAAUGAGUCAUACAAUGAAGCUCUGGGAGAGAGUCAUUAUGCAUAAAUUGAGGCAAGAGACACGGGUUUUGGACAACCAAUUCGACCUCAUGCCAGAGCGCUCAACCAUGGAGGCAAUCUAUCUCUUACGAAGAUUGAUGGAAAGAUAUAGAGAUAGGAAAAAGGAUUUACAUAUGGUUUUUAUAGAUUUGAAAAAAGCAUACGAUAGGGUCUCAAGAGACAUUCUUUAGAGGAUUUUAGAAAAGAAAUGAGUACGAGCAACAUAUAUCCAAGCUAUAAAGGAUAUGUAUGAUAGAGCAAAGACUGCUGUAAGAACUCAUGAAGGACAAACCAAAAGCUCCACAUAACUGUUGGGUUACAUCAAGGCUCAUCCUUAAGUCCUUACCUUUUUGCAUUGGUAAUGGAUGAGUUAACGAGACAUAUGCAAGAUGAUAUUCCUUGGUGUAUGCUUUUCACAAACGAUAUAGUGUUGAUAGAUGAAACUCAGGAAGAGGUAAAUACAAAGCUUAACCUUUGGAGAGAAUUGUUGGAAUCUAAAGGUCUUUGCCUAAGCCGAUCAAAGACAAAAUAUAUGGAGUGCAAGUUUAGUGCAAAUGGAGGCUAAAAUGAGUUAGGGGUGAGGAUCGGAGAUCAGGAAGUACCAAAGAGCGACCGCUUUCGUUACUUAGGAUCUAUCCUGUAAAAGAACGGAGAAUUAGAUGGAGACCUCAAUCAUAUAAUACAAACUGGAUGGAUGAAAUGGAAGAGUACAUCUGACGUGUUGUGUGACCGCCGUAUGCCACUGAAACUCAAGGAAAAUUUUUAUAGGACGUUAAUAAGGCUAGCGAUGAUGUAUGGCACGAAAUAUUGGGCAGUGAAGCAUCAACACAUACAUAAAAUGGGUGUAGCAGAGAUGAGCAUGCUUCGUUGGAUGUGUGGGCACACAAGAAAGGAUAAGAUUAGGAAUGAGAAUAUCCGAGGUAAAGUAGGAGUAGCCGAAAUUGAAGGAAAGAUGAGAGAAAAUCGGUUACGGUGGUUUGGACAUGUGUAAAGAAGGCCUACUGACGCUCCGGUUAGAAGAUGUGACUACGGGACAAAGGUUCAGAGCUGAAGAGGUAGAGGAAGACCUAGGAAAACUUUGAAAAAGACUCUAAGAAAAGACUUAGAGUACUUGGAUCUAAUGGAGGACAUGACACAGAACUGAGCUCAAUGGCGUUCUAGGAUUCAUAUAGCCGACCCCACUUAGUGGGAAAAGCCUUUAUUGUUGUUGUUGUUGCUAAACAUAAAACACUCAAGGAUAGAAAGAAAAUAUAUAAAGAAGAAAUAAAGCUAGAGUGGUUGCAUAAAAGAGAAUGUCAUUCCAUUGCGAUCAGAUUGCAAUGAUUCUUCUUUCAUGCCUCCAAACUCAAACUUUCUCUCUUCUUCAGUACAAUAUUAUACCAUACUACCUUCAUAAGAACAUAAGUAAAAAAUAGAUAUAUAUAAUAACGAUGAGGACAAUUAUACCAAGUGAGUGGUAAUUGAGUUAUCAUUAGAUAUUAUUAUCAUUAGUUCCGCUUCAUUUGGUAUCAGAGCCAAGUGAGUGGUAAUUGAGUUAUCAUUUUUUUAAUCACUACAUUUGGUCAUUAUUCAGUUUCAUUUAUAGCUUAUCUUAUUUGUUAACCUUCUAAGUAGGACUGUUUACUCUCCACCCAAACAGUAAGGCGUCUUCCAAACAAUAAGUCCAUAGGAUUGGCAUGAGCGAAUCGCAUAAGCAGAGAGGGAGUUUAGCAAAUACACGAGGAAGAUAAUAGACAGUAAGAUUUUCUGCAUAUUGAAAACCUACAUUUUGAACAAUAUGAGUAGAUUAUUUAGAUCUAAUUCAACUGCCAGCUAGCUCCAGAACAAGUUUAAGUAGAAUUCCAAACAUAGUAAAUGAAGAACAAAAAUUAGAAUUUCAAACGGAUGACAGUGUCAACCUUGGAGAUUGGAAUAUCCCCAAAGUUUCUAUUAAAAACAUUUACAAAAAGAAAUGAUCAGUAGCCUCUUUUAGAAGUGAACACCACGUCAAAAUAGUUGAAAAAGCUUAUUCUCUUAGUAAAGAACAUGAAACUUGUCAAUUAUUCACACCAGAACAAAUCAGAACUCAUAGAAAAGAUGGUUACAAUUACAUUCACAUAGGUCUAGUCCAAAUAGCAGUCAAGCCCUUAACAAGAAGAGGCCUCAAUACCUCUAUUUUGUUAUGUCUCCAAGAUGCAAGAUUCACUGACUUCAGUGAUAGUAUUCUUGGAAUGAUUGAGUCAAGUCUUUACAAUGGACCAAUUCAUUUUGAUUACUUCCCAGAUCUCACAAUAAGUCUUUUAGACCCCCACAUGCUAAAAACACUCACAUUAAACAUAAAAACUUCAGGGUACCAAGUCCUUGAAGGAGUCGAACCAUUAGCUUUAAUUUUCAGAGUUUACUACAAAGUCACAUGAACAAACAUGAACUUCCAAGCCUUAGUUAAAAGUCCUCGAGACCACACACUCUUGAUACAAACCAAUCAAGAAAAUGCCAACAUUAAAAUACCCAGAACCAUUAGAUGGUCAGAUAUCAGUCUACCUUCAUAUUGAUGCUUGAUCAAUGAAAGCAAACUAGUUAGUAUCCAAAAUAGUUUAGUCAACCUAGACAACAUAGAACAAUAUUUUGAUGGAACAGUUAAAAUCAACUUUAACUGUCCAGCCAGAAAAUCUAGUGUCCACUUACACGAGUUAGCCCAGUCACACAAAUCUUUAGAACCAAGUAGGAAUUCUUUUUUUGGAUCCACAUCAGCCGAUAUGGUGGGUCGAGGUCAAGAUUUAAUCAAUUCCUUAGUCAAUAGAAAAUUAAAAGCAGUAUAAACUAGCUUAGCAGUCACCGAGCAAUAAUUAAUUAAUGAUUUGAUCAACCUAAAAUUAAAAUCUUUAUAAACAACCUCUCAGGUAACUCACCCACGAUACCAGCCUAACACUCAAAACCAAUGAGAACAAACCUCUCCAACAUAAUCCGACUUCGAAGCAAGUCAAAUUAACCACCAAUUACUUGUAUUGAAUAAACCAUUCAAAUUUCGAUGGAAGAAACUCAAUGCUGACAUCGAAGCAACAUCAAAUAUUCCCAAAAGACAUAUUUUUCGAAAUAAAUAUACAAAAGAACAAAAACUGGACAUUUACGAUAAAUGGACUAAUUUCAUGAAAAAGCAUAGACUUGAAGUAUUUUUCUUCGAUUUCGUUGAAAAAUAUUACGAGUUUGAAAAGAAGAUAGAAGUCAUCACCAAAGAAAAUUGGGUUAAAGAAGACAAAACCAUAGUCUCUUCUAGUCACCAUCUACAAGAAACAAUUUUAAUUACAACUGCAAACACACAAGUACCAGCCACUUCUUUCAAACUUCCAAAAGAAGAUGCAGGAGUCAAGCCAGUCAUCGAACAAAACAAUUUUACAAACCAAAGUCUACACACCAUAAGAAAACAAUUAGACAAAAUAGAAACCAAAGUAGAUAGACUUUCUCAACCAAAACCAACAAUUAGGAAAAAACCCUUAGUCAACUUCCCAGAAUCUUCCUCUAGCACAAUAGCUUUAAAAACAAUUUCCACAAGUCAAAAAAUAGAUCAAAUGUUACAAGAAUUAAAACAAGAAAAAACAGUCAAUGUUUUACAACAUCCAGAUAAAUCUCAACCAGAAACAACUUAUGCAAUAUGAGAUUCAGAAGACGAGAGUGAAAUAAAUUCCAUCAGAAAAGUAGAAGAAGCUUUUCAAAAUCUUGAACUAAAACGAAUCACGAACAAACUAGUCAAUCCAACAACUCUUACCAAAAAUUGGUAUCCAAGGCCAACAUCUCCGGAUAUUCAAUUUGAAGAAAAAAACAUCCAAAAUCAAUUCUCAAUCUCAGCUGAAAAACUCUAUGAAUGGAACAUAGAUGGAUUAUCAGAAUAAGAACUUUUGAAUAAAUUACAAUACAACUCCAUGAUUGCUAAUAGUUAUAUUACCAAUCAUAACCUUAGUCAAACACAAGUUGUCGACCUUUUGGUCACUAGAUUUACAUGAAUGCUCCAUUCCUGGUGGGAAAAACAUCUCACUGAACAAUCCAGAAAUGAAAUUAAAAAUGCAGUCAAAAUAGACAAAGAUGGAAUACCCAUCUUUGAUGAGCAUAUAGGACGAGGAGUCCCAGAUGCAGUCAACAUAUUACUUUUCACCAUUAUAGAACAUUUCAUAGGGACACCCAGUAAUGUUACCUCCAGAAUUCAUGACCAACUUAGUAACUUUAGAUGUUCGACCCUAAGCUAUUUUAGAUGGUACAAAGAUAUUUUCAUGUCUAGAGUCAUGCUUAGAGAGGAUAGUAAUAAACCAUUUUGGAAAGAAAAAUUCAUUAACGGAUUACCAAAUCUAUUUGCCCAUAAAAUCAGAAAUGUUUUAGUUAAUGAAGAAAGUAUCAUACCAUAUCAUACCCUUACUUAGGAAAAUAUUAUUAAUAUUAUCCAGAAAGAAGGAUUGAAAAUGUGUAUUGAUAUGAAAAUUACAAAACAAGUCAACAAAGACAAGUCAAUAGCCAAAUAUGAAUUAGGAACAUUUUGUGAGCAAUAUGGAUUACCUUCUAUUGCUCCAUCCAACAACAACAACAACAAAAUCUUUUCCCACUAAGUGGGGUCGGCUAUAUGAAUCCUAGAACGCUAUUGCGCUCGGUUUUGUGUCAUGUCCUCCGUUAGAUCCAAGUACUCUAAGUCUUUUCUUAGGGUCUCUUCCAAAGUUUUCCUAGGUCUUCCUCUACCCCUUCGGCCCUAAACCUCUGUCCCGUGGUCACAUCUUCGAACCAGAGCGUCAGUAGGCCUUCUUUGCACAUGUCCACACCACCGUAACCGAUUUUCUCUCCUCUUUCCUUCAAUUUCGGCUACUCCUACUUUACCUCGGAUAUCCUCAUUCCUAAUCUUAUCCUUUCUCGUGUGCCCACACAUCCAACGAAGCAUCCUCAUCUCCACUACACCUACGUGUUGAUGCUUCACCGCCCAACAUUCUAUGCCAUACAGCAUUGCCGGCCUUAUUGUCGUCUUAUAAAAUUUUCCCUUGAGCUUCAGUGGCCUACGACGGUCACACAACACGCCGGAUGCACUCUUCCACUUCAUCCAUCCAGCUUGUAUUCUAUGGGUGAGAUCUCCAUCAAAUUCUCCGUUCAUUUGCAAGAUAGAUCCUAGGUAGCGAAAACGGUCGCUCUUUGGUAUUUCCUGAUCUCCGAUCCUCACCCCUAACUCAUUUUGGCCUCUGUUUGCACUGAACUUGCACUCCAUAUAUUCUGUCUUUGAUUGGCUUAGGUGAGGACCUUUAGAUUCCAACACUUCUCUCCAAAGGUUAAGCUUCGCGUUUACCCCUUCCUGCAUUUCAUCUAUCAACACUAUAUCGUUUGCGAAAAGCAUACACCAAAGAAUAUCAUCUUAAAUAUUAAGUUUGUGAUCUUCGCUAGAUUGCUCCGGUCAUUAGUGUGGAUAAGUAUGUAAAUGGAUAGAGACAGGAAGCAAACACAAGAUGUACGUGGUUCACCCAGAUUGGCUACGUCCACGGAGUAAAGGAGUUCUCAUUAAUUGUGAAGGGUUUACACAGUAUAUAGGUUCAAGCUCUCCUUUAGUGAGUACAAGUGAAUGAUUUAGUACAAAUGACAUUAGGAAAUAUUGUGGAAGAAUGAUCUCGUAAUCACGAAACUUUUGAGUACCGAAGUGUGGUAUCGUCUUCACUUGCCUUAUCUGUCUCAUAGGUAGAUGUGACAUCUUCUUUGAAAGUACUCUUCAUCCCUCCAGGGGUGGUAUCUUUAACUGGUGGAGAUGCACAAGGUAAUGUAUCAAUUUCACUUGACGCUUACUUGUAGUUUCAGGCUUGGUCAAGCGCGAUACAAACCAUGUAGUAGGAGUCCCCCAAGUCGCCGAGCUAGGGGAUCUGCUGAAAGAGGUGACAGACAAGGUAAGCAAUCAGAGCUCCAAGCAAUCAGUCCCAGAUCAGAAGUUUGAUUUCGAGUUCCGGCUGAUUGUUAUCCUUCUCCUUAUCUUGCAGGUAGCAUGAAAGAUAAAGAGAAGAAAAGGAGAAAAUGUGAUAUGAGAUACUUUUGCUUUUGAAGAAGUAACUUUCCACAGGCUUAUUCUUGAACUGGGUUGGAGGGUUUUCUUGUUUCCGCCAGAGUAUAAGGCCGACUGAAGAAUUUGAGGGUCAAAACAAGUCCAUCAAAUCUAGAGUAUGUUUGACCCUGCUGAUAUGGGAUACUUUUGUUGUUGACAAAGUAGUGGAUGUAUCGGCACGUGUUCUGUUGCGCUUGUCUCCACAUGCUUCCUUGUAUCCUUCUCACUUGCCCUAUUUGUUCCUCAGGCAGAUGUGGUAUCUCGGGAAGCAUAAGAUGUUGAAGAUGAGUACUCGAGAGCAAUGGGGUUCCAGGCAGUCAGUUCCGGACUGGAAGCUUGAUUCCAAGUGCUGAUUGAUUGCUCUCUUUCUCCUUGUCUUGCAGGUAAGAACAAGGCCAAAGGAAAAGACAGGGAAAAAGCAUGAUAUGGGAUACUCUUGCUUUUAACCCUGAUGAUAUGAGAUAUUCUUGCUUUAGUGUAGCUUGUUUGCAGAGGUAUUCUCGGGGGGAAAGAAAGCUGAGUAUUUCGAGAGGCUUCGUUGGGAGUGCCCUCUCAGAUAUGAGGAAGGGUUGAGCAUAUUUGCAGGUCUGCCUGUCCGUUGAGGAUGGAGGUCGACAUAUAUAGGAGUCUCCCUAACAAGGAGUAAUACUAUUCUUUUACCCUGCUUGGUCAUAGCACGGUAGUGGGAGCUGCCAGCUUCACGUGUUUUAACUCUGUCAGAGCACUUUGAAAAAGUGGUCUGUGGUAUCUGGAAAGCUGAUGUUACGUGUGAAGAUUACAGACAAGCUUUUUCUAAGGGGCUCUCGAAGUUGAGAAAGCGGUGCCUCUUCGGUUUUCGAACAAGCAAUCCUGUCGGGGAUCUAUCUCUCGAGAUUCGGAGAACGGUGCCUCUUCGAUUUUUGAGAAAGCAAUCCUGCUAGGAGUCUAGCUCUCGAGAUUCGGAGAGCGGUGUCUCGUCGCUUUUUGAGAAAGUAAUCAUGUUGGGAGUCUGGCUCUCGAGAUUCGGAGGACAGUGCCUCUGCGAUCUUGAAGCAAGCAAUCUUGUUGGGAGUGUUUUCUCGAAUGUGAGUAAAGGUUAGGACUGUUUGCUAGUCUACCUUGCCACGGAGCACAGAGGUUGACCCAUCCAACAAAAAGAAAAAAAUCAGAAGCCUACAAUAGGUACCCAAAUAAGUACUCAAGUAAGAGACAUCCCAAAUAUAAAAAUAAGAAUUUUGAAACAAAUACAUUUUACGAGAAACCCAAGCCCAACAAGUGGAAGAGGAAACCCUAAAAAAAAUUCCACUUCAAAAACCAAGAACGAAAAGGAAAUUGCUACAGGUGUGGUAAAUUCGGUCAUUAUGCAAAUAAAUGUAGAGUCAAGAAAACAAUGAGAAAAUCCAGUUAAUUCAGGUCUUAGAAUUAAGAGACAAAAUAGGGUGCACUGAUACUUGUUGUAAAAAGAUUUCAGUCCUCAAUAAACAAGAAGAACAAGAAGAUCUUCUUAUCGAAUUAAUCAGCAAAGUAGAUGACCAUGAAUUAAAGUAAUUUUAUUUAAAGAAACUUAAGAAGUUAAUCUCCCCUGAAGAAGACAGUACUAGUCAAUCCCAAGAGGCCCUAAAAAUAUGUCUUAGCACAACCCUAGAAAGGUUUAAUAGGGCUAAGAAAGAAAUUACAGUCAAAGAUUUACAAAGAGAAGUCAAUAAAAUUAAGGAAGAAAUUAAGUCCUUAAAAUUAGAAAAUAUAGAAAUUCACUCACAUCUCAGUAGCAUUCAAACAUAAGCACUCAUUGGCAAUAAUGAUGAAGAAUAUAAUAGUUCUUCCUCCAACCAAGUGUCAGAAUCCAAAUCCAUAGAAAACCCAACAGAACAUCUAAUUUUAGGAUUACUACAAAAAAUUAGGAUCCGAAAAUGGUAUUCUAAAAUAAAAAUAAUAAUUGAAGGCUUCUAGUUAGAAACAAUUGCCUUAAUUGACUCAGGUGCAAACUUGAAUUGUAUCAAAAAAGGUUUAAUUCCCACUUAGUAUUUUCAUAAAUCAACAUAAAUUAUUAGUGCUACAAAUCAGUCACCGAUGCAAUUAAAAUAUGAAAUCUCAAAAGCCCAUGUUUGUCAAAACAAUGUUUGCUUUAAAACUCCAUUUGUUUUGAUAAAAAAUAUUUCAAACCCAUUCAUUCUAGGUCUCCCCUUCAUAGCUCUCCUAUAUCCUUUUAAGGUACACCAUAAUCGUAUAACCAUGAUAGGGGCAUAUUUAUGCACCUUAGUUAGCUUGUUCUUGUGCAUUUACAUUGUUUUUCCUUAGUUAAAGUAGUCUUAUGUGUUUUCAGGUUUUAAGGGCAUAUCAUACAAAAAGAUGCAUUUUGGAACCUUUUAGAGCACAAUUGAGCUUGGAUUGGACAUCACAUACUUGGAGCCAAGAGGAUGGACGAAAUUGAAGAUUUGAAGAUGAUGUUUCCUACUUGAACAAGGUUUCCUUGUUGAAGUAGGAAAGUCCCUAAUUGAAGAUGGAAUCCUAGUUGAAUUAGGAUUCCUAGUUGAAAUAGGUUUCCUAGUGGAAUUGGGAUUCCUAGAAGAUGAAGAUUCCUACUCAAACAAGGUUUCCUACUUGAAGUAGGAAAGUUAAAUCCAAAUGGCAUCAAGUUUCAGCAACAAAGAAGUUUUCCAAGUCCAAAUGAAGGAAAAGGAAUCCAAGAUGAUGAAGGAUUGACAAAGACAAACUUUCCUAAUCCUAAUGUACAAAGAUUUCAGCUCCAAAGAGGAGUCCUAAACACUUUAGGACACCUUAUCCCUUCACAAUCAGCCUUAUCCCUUAGUGCCGCACCUAUUCCCUUCUAGAAAUCUGAUUUCCUUGCCUUGCAAGGCUUUCUAGAAGCCUUAUCCACCCUAUCCCUUACCUACCGCACCUAGGAUGCCUUUUCCCAUUCAAAAUCUGAUUGUUUUAAGCCAUUUCCUGAUGGGUUUUAAUUAUACAAGUCCAUAUCUGAUUCCCCUAGGGUUUUAAGUGCCUAUAUAUACUCAUAUUAACCCUUUGGCUGAAUUACCACCUCUCAUACACAUCAAUUCACGCCAGAAAUCAUCCCUUGCUCUCUGCCGCACCCUUCCACCACCAUAUUCCAUAAUUUCUGCCCAAAAUCAUCCCUAGCUGCACCACCCAUCAACCCUAGACACCACCACACAUCCCCCAUCCAUUCUACACCAUUCUACCAUUCAUAACCCCAAAACCUGUCCACAACCUUUGUGCCGCAGCAAGGAGAAAGGAAGGAACUUCGUGGAUGCACUUGCUGUCCAAGUUGGAGUAUCUAGGUGUUUUCUUUCUUUGGAUUUCAAUGUUUAAACUUAUUUAUCUUUGCUUUGUGCAUAUGAGGAACUAAACCCCCCCUUGGCUAGGGGGGAUUCAAAACCAUGUUUAUGCUCGCUAUAUGAUUUGAUUACUUCUAAUUGCGUUUCAUAAGUUGUGAAUUCAAUUUACUUAUCUAUAUGAAUUAAAACUGGUUUGUGUAUGUUGGUUAAGAGGGCCCGCUUAGUUUGCAUGCAUGAAUUUGAUGCUAGGAUAUAAGGGAAUUUCAAUUAAUUGUUAUAAACUUAUAUUCACAAGUAGUAAAGGUUGUUGAUCACAAUCGUGUUAAGUAAAUUCUUGGCAUAAGUUUCAUGCAAUUCAUAGUAACAAGUGCCCCGUCAAUGCUUAUGGUUUUCAUAGAACUUAAUGAUUCUUGCAUGUGUCUCUAUUAUGCGCUUUCAUGUAGGGAACUUGUGGGGAAUGCUUUGGGUUGUCGUAUGCAAUUCAUCCAAUUCAAUAACUUAAGGAAAAUCUGAGGGUUAAUUUAAGCGGACCUAAUUAACUUGGGGCGUUGAGAAUUCAUGGUUUAUUGAGAAGCAAUUGGAAAUCGUUUUGUAUGCAAGUGUGACAUGUGUGGAGAAGAACCCCUUAGUUAGCCUUCCAUCCAUUCACUUUAACCAAUUUCGUUUUAAAAUCUGUUUAGUUUAGUUUACUUGUUUUGUUUUUAAAUUCGUCCAAAAUCAAUCCCCUUUUACUUUGUUGAGUCAUAUUAGUUAGAAAUCAAUUUAGUUUGUGUUUUUAAGUGUCUUGAGUCAAGUUAUAACCAAUUUUCGUCCAAAUUCUUCCUUGGUGUCAGAAACUGCCCAGAAAGUGUUUUUAAGGCAGUUUUGAGUGUUUGUUUGCUGUUUUGAGUCUUUUGGUUUGUUUU